rnacentral:rRNA from 1 species
CCUACGGGAGGCAGCAGUGGGGGAUAUUGCACAAUGGGGGGAACCCUGAUGCAGCGACGCCGCGUGGGUGAAGAAGCGCCUCGGCGCGUAAAGCCCUGUCAGCAGGGAAGAAAAUGACGGUACCUGAAGAAGAAGCCCCGGCUAACUACGUGCCAGCAGCCGCGGUAAUACGUAGGGGGCAAGCGUUAGCCGGAUUUACGGGGUGUAAAGGUGGCGCAGACGGCGAUGCAAGCCAGGAGUGAAAGCCCUGGGCCAAACCCCGGGACGGCUCUUGGAACUGCGUGACUUGAGUGCGGGAGGGGCAGGCGGAAUUCCUGGUGUAGCGGUGAAAUGCGUAGAUAUCAGGAGGAACACCGGUGGCGAAGGCGGCCUGCUGGACUGCAACUGACGUUGAGGCCCGAAAGCGUGGGGAGCAAACAGGAUUAGAUACCCUAGUAGUC